CGGACGGGUGAGUAAUGUCUGGGAAACUGCCUGAUGGAGGGGGAUAACUACUGGAAACGGUAGCUAAUACCGCAUGACGUCGCAAGACCAAAGAGGGGGACCUUCGGGCCUCUUGCCAUCGGAUGUGCCCAGAUGGGAUUAGCUAGUAGGUGGGGUAACGGCUCACCUAGGCGACGAUCCCUAGCUGGUCUGAGAGGAUGACCAGCCACACUGGAACUGAGACACGGUCCAGACUCCUACGGGAGGCAGCAUG
rnacentral:rRNA from 1 species